ACACCUCAACUCUCAUGGUUCGCUAUGAUGAGCUUGGACUUUGGAGGUCUUGCUGGCCUGUGGUCAGCUCCUCUCAAAUGAAUCAGCUUGCCAGUGUUUGGUGGCAUCGCAGGUGUGAUAAAUAUCUACGCUUGUGGUUUUCUGCCAGAUAACCUUCAGCAAUGGGGGUUCAUUGGAGCUCAUAAAUAUCUAUCCUCAGUGAGGAUAGCUCUUUGAAU
rnacentral:misc_RNA from 1 species